rnacentral:tRNA from 2 species
GUCCCCAUCGUCUAGAGGCCUAGGACAUCGCCCUUUCACGGCGGUAACGGGGGUUCGACUCCCCCUGGGGACGCCA